UACGGGGGGGGGCAAGCGUUGUUCGGAAUUACUGGGCGUAAAGGGCUCGUAGGCGGCCAACUAAGUCAGACGUGAAAUCCCUAGGCUCAACCUAGGAACUGCGUCUGAUACUGGAUGGCUUGAAUCCGGGAGAGGGAUGCAGAAUUCCAGGUGUAGCGGUGAAAUGCGUAGAUAUCUGGAGGAACACCGGUGGCGAAGGCGGCAUCCUGGACCGGUAUUGACGCUGAGGCGCGAAAGCCAGGGGAGCAAAGCGGG
rnacentral:rRNA from 1 species